GUCCACGCCGUAAACGUUGGGCACUAGGUGUGGGGCUCUAUCAACGGGCUCCGUGCCGUAGCUAACGCAUUAAGUGCCCCGCCUGGGGAGUACGGCCGCAAGGCUAAAACUCAAAGGAAUUGACGGGGGCCCGCACAAGCGGCGGAGCAUGUGGCUUAAUUCGAUGCAACGCGAAGAACCUUACCUGGGUUGAACUAUGCAGGAAAAGCCGUAGAGAUACGGUGUCCUUCGGGGCCUGCGAUAGGUGGUGCAUGGCUGUCGU
rnacentral:rRNA from 1 species